rnacentral:rRNA from 1 species
AUGGCCACACCGUCAUCGGUGGCCUCUCUGGCUGCGACCAUCGCGCUCGUUGCAUCCUCCCUUGCCGCCUGCAAGAGCAGUCGGACUGUUCAGGGAUGCUUCGCCUUGCGCAAGCUCCCCUCCACACCAACGGUGCUGGUCAUCCGGCCUCCGCCGCCAACCGUCCCCGUCCUCCUAGUCGGCACCUCUUCCGGUUGCCGCUGGCGCGCUCUGGGCUCCUCUGCUCAUCCCCAAGUACCGAACCGCUGCUCAGAUCUAAUCUGGAUCAGGGGCUUGUGUCCCAGCCGCCGCAGCCACGUCUUCGCCCUGAGGAGGUCUUUAUUAAGGUGCUGGAGGCCCUCCCCACGCCUUCGACACCAUCGGCCUGCCCUGAUGAACUCCUUUGUCUCUUCUGCGGACGUGUACUGCUCGUUAGGCCGGAUGCAGCUUGUGUGGGGCUCGUCGAGGAGGCUGCAGACUAGGAGCUCGUCAAGUCUUGUUGUGUGCGGAGGCGCCUCCAUCACCCUUGGCUUUCAUGCCUCUACGACGUCCCCGUCCACCUGUGUGGCUCAGGAAUAUGCGUUUCGUUGCUUCAGAGAAGGCCAUCAGGUGGCGGGGUGCAUGGAGCCAAUCUGGUGUAACCGAUGCUUCAGCUUAGGACACGAUGUGUGGGAUGGCUGCAAGCAGAUGAGGACACCGCCUGCUGCAUGUUCUGCUCAACCACCGGCAUGUUCUUGGGCUUCGAUUGUCGCGCUUCGACCAACAUCUAAGAUACAUGAGGCCCCUUGA